rnacentral:rRNA from 1 species
GAUGAACGCUGGCGGCGUGCUUAAUACAUGCAAGUCGAGCGAACAGACGCGUACCUUGCUCCUCUGACGUUAGCGGCGGACGGAUCAGUAACACGUGGAUCACCUCCCUAUAAGACUGGCAUAACUUCGGGAAACCGAAGCUAAUACCGGCUACUAUCUUGAACCGCAUGGUUCAAUAGUGAUAGACGGUUUUGCUGUCACUUAUAGAUGUAUCCGCGACGCAUUAGUUAGUUGGUAAGGUAACGGCUUACCAAGGCGACGCUGCGCAGCCGACCUGGGAGGCUGAUCGGCGACACGAGAGCUGAGACGCGGUCCAGACUCCUACGAGAGGGAGCAGAAGGGAAUCGUCCGCAGUGGUCGAGAGCCUUACGGAGCAACGCCGAGUGAGUGAUGGAGGUCUUCGGAGCGGAAAAAUGUGUUAUGAGGGAAAAACAAAUGUGUAUGUAGCUGUGCACGUAGUGACGGUACCUAAUGAGGAAGCCACGGCUAACUACGUG